GGACUUGGCGAGGUUCUUCUUGUUAAUGCACUUGACCGCGACCUCCAGGUCGUGCUUCUGAAAACCAAGUGCCCACGUUCCUCAGGGGCCGGGAACCUCUCGAAGGCCGCCCCAGGCCAGAACGCUCCCUCGAAAUCAAAGGGACCUCUCAACCCUUCAUGCAAAGUGGAGGAAGCAGACACAAAGACCCUGCUGCAGGUUCUGCCUGUGCGGGAUUCACUCUGGGUAUGUUCCCCAAAGCGAGGCGGGUUCCCUCCUGGAGAACGACAUCAGACUCUCCACCAGGAGGAGUCGUCUCGCAAAGUAAGGUGUGCCUGUUCCGGACAUUUCGUAUGAAUGGAGUCAUACGCUGUGUGACCUUUGUCUGGCUCCUUUCACUGAACCUCCUGUUUUUAAGGGCACCUACCACCAUCUAAACUCCACGAUGGAAGGGAUUUUCCAGAACCUAAAUUGGUACCUGCCCUCUGGAAGCCCUCAGUUGGUACUUGCUGUGUGAAUGGUCACAUGGCUCUAACCUCCAGACCCGAUGAUAGAGAAGUACAAAGUGCUUAGGAGUAAGACGUCAUGAUGUCUGUACUUCACCAUGAAAUUACUUCAGCAAAGACGAAAAUAAAUGAAGCAAUAGGCAGAUGCCUACAAUAACCAAGCCCAGGUGCUGUGUCGGUGUUGCCUGUCCUUGAACUUUACGAAGAUGGAUCACAGCACUCGUUCUUCAUGUGUCACUUCUCUCAGGAAGCAUCAUGUCUGUAAGAUUCACCCAUGAGUUGCAUCAUCCUCUGGCUUUUGCAAAACAGUCCUAGCGCAUAUAGAACAUGUACACGUGUUUGUCUAGGUGUAUACACACCUGUAGACAUUGUAUCUUUCAGUUUUGCUUGUUUCUGAGCUCUAUGAAACAGCAUCACAGUGCAGAAGAAACAUCAGCCUAAGAAAGUAUGGAACCCACUGGCAGAGGCAAAUACAGAGAUGGACACCGGACCCUCGACCACUGUGACGGCACAGGGAAGUCACUUUUAAUUCCAGUAUAAAGUUACAGGACAAAGUAUUACAAAAUAGCUGUAACUAAAAAAUAUUUUUAAAAGAUACACACCAUGAACAGACAUAAAUUGUGACAACAGCAUCAUAGAAUGUAUGUGCGGGGGCAGCUAACAUGUAGGGGUUUUUAUAGGAUUGGACGUAAGUUGUUAACAGCUUAAAAUAGACUUUUAUAAGAUAUUUUAUGUAAGUCCCAAGGUAACCACAGAAAAUACCUCUACACUGACACGAGGAGAAAGGAAUCAAAGCAUAUCAAUAUUUAAAAAAUCAACAAACACAGGAAGGUGGCAAAAGAGGAGAAGAGAUGACAAGACUAACAGAAAGGAGGAACUUGGAGGCAGUGAUAAGCCUGUCCCUGUGGUAAAGGCUUUAUGCAACUGGAUUACAACUACGGAAAUGUAAACGUCUGUUCAUGAGAGUAAAUGGAUCAAACUCCCCAAUUAGGACAGAGAGUGGCUGAACGGAUUCAAAACCCAGACCCAACUCUGUGCUGCCUGCUGGAAACUCUCCUUAGAUGUACGCACCCACACAGGCUGAAAGCAAAGCGAUGGAAAAACAUUCCAAGGGAAGUGAUGCAGCCUGGGGCACGCACAGCGCUGCUUCCGCUGCUCUCAGGCCCUUUGGUUCCCGCCUCCAUCGUCUCCGAGCUGUUUCACUGACAGACACGCAAACUUUCUCAUGCACAGAGGGUCAGUUAGCUUCCCUCCAUCCCACAGGAAAAAACAGAUUUUCCUUCACUGACACAUUCAUUUCAAUAUGCUUAUCUAUAGAGGCGUCUGUUUAUUUUCCUUUGAACUUUCUAACAUCUGCCUGGCGCCCUCCUUGAGGAAGAGCUUUACUACUUUUCAUUUUCAUAGCUCUGUGCGUCGUGAUUUUCCCUGUUUGCAUCAUCCUUUAUCAACAGCAUCCGUCUUUUGCAUCCUGCUUUUCUUAUUAAAUGCCAUGUUGAUGGGGCCCAUUCUGGGCUGUUCUGGGCAGCAGUGACUUCUCCUUCUUGCUGCUGCCAAAUAUUGCCUGGGAAUCUAGACGGGAUGACCCGUCCUUUCUUCUGAUGAUGGAGUGUGGGUUGUUUCCAGAGUUUUGCUGUUAGGAACCGGCUGUGACAGACAUUCUCACUCAGGCUCCUGCUGUCCCCCCGCCCCCCCGUUUCCCUGAGGGCAUACCCAGGGGUGGGUCUGCAGAGGGA